rnacentral:rRNA from 1 species
UGUCAUGUGUAGGUCUAUGGUUCCUUUGGAUACCAGAGACUGCAGACGGCUCAUUAUCUCAGUGAGAAUCUACUUUGCGAACAGUCGAACUGGAUAAUUGCGGGAAUUCUGCGACUAAUACAAUUCGCUUUGCUGGGGUAUCUGGCUUUCGACCAACCGCUUUACGCGUCUUGUGUUGAAUCACGGAUUCCCUUCGUCGACUCAGUCGACGCGCAAAAUGGAUUUCUGCCCUAUCAACUAGACGGUUGGCUCUGGGCCUACCGUGGUUACAACGGGUGACGGGGAAUGAGGGUUCGACCCCGGAGAGGGAGCCUGAGAGACGGCUACCACAUCUAAGGAAGGCAGCAGGCGCGCAAAUUACCCAAUUCCCACUUGGGAGAGGUAGUGACAAGAUAUAACAAUAUCGGGCUCUACGAGUCUGGUAAUUGCAAUGAGCAGUGCUCAAACCCAUCUGCAAGGAACAAUUGGAGGGCAAGUCUGGUGCCAGCAUCUGCGGUAAUUCCAGCUCCAAUAGCGUAUAUGUAAAUUGCUGCGGUUGAAACGCUCGUAGUUGGACUUCGGAUGUCAGAGUUCGGUCCACUUCUGUGAGUACUGGACUCUGGCAUCUCUUUUGUCGACGGGUUUCAUCGGACUUAAUUGGCUGGUGAUUUUCUGUCGGCGGUGUUACUUUGAGGAAAUCAGAGUGCUCAAAGCAUGCGUACGCUCGUGACUUCACUAGCAUGGAAAUAACACAGAUGGGCUCUGUCUCGCAACGUUGGUCUGCGUCAAUUGAGCAACGAUCGAUAGAGACGGUCGGGGGCAUUCGUAUUGCGCAGUUAGAGGUGAAAUUCUCCGAUCUGCGUAGACGCACUAGUGCGAAAGCAUUGCCAAGNCGUCCUCUUAUGAUCAGAGCGAAAGUCGGGGAUCAAAGAUGAUUAGAUACCGUCGUAGUCCCGACCAUAAAUGAUGCCGACUGAGCGUCGGUGACUCGGCUUUAUGCCGGACAUCGGCGCUCUGAGAGAAAUUAAAGUCUUUGGGCUCCCGGGGGUAGUAUGGUCGCAAGUCUGAAACUUGAAGGAAUUGACGGAAGGGCACCACAAGGCGUGGAUGUUGCGGCUUAAUUUGACUCAACACGGGAAAGCUUACUAGGUUUGGACACUUGAAUGAGGGACAUAUUGAAGCUCUUACCUUAUCUUGUGGAUGGUGGUGCAUGGUCGUUCUCAGCCCGUGGGUUGACCUGUCAGGUUUACUCCGGUAACGCGCGAGACCUCGGUUUGCUAAAUAGACGUGGCUGUUUCGGCACCCGCGUUCUUCUUAGAGAGAGACUCAGUGAGAAUUGAGGGAAGUCGAGGCAAUAACAGAUCUGUGAUGCCCUUAGUUAUCCUAGGUCGCACGCGCCAUACAAUGUGGCGCACAACGAGUUUCCUUGGCCGAUAGGAAUGUCUCUCUGUUCAGUGUCUAACAUCUCAGAUCUGUAUCGCUAUCUGAGCAUGUAACAAUGCUUAUUUGGUUGAUCAGACAGUAUAGUUGUUAUGAUCUGCAGUAGAGAAUACUGGGCAAUCUGUGAGAGCGCUACGUGACUGGGCUAGACUUUUGUAAUUGUUGGUCUUGAACGAGGAAUGCCUAGUAAUCGCAGGUCAUUAUCCUGCGAUGAUUAUGUCCCUGCCCUUUGUACACACCGCCCGUCGCUCCUGCCGUGGCUCGUGCCGGUGAAGAGGGGGAGGCAGCGUCGAUUUGGGUAAAACCGAAUUGUACGUGGAACCCCUUCUGAACCUUCGCGAGUA